CACAAAUUUUUCCCCUCAACCAAAAAGAUUAUAACUCUGCAGGGACGUAUUUACAUCCAUCUUAACACACAUCAGCGUUUAUCACAGAUUGGGCCUCCGAUUGUCACCACUUCAUUCUCCUUGAUCAAUAUUUAAUCACUGCACAGUUAUAUAGAAGAGAAUGAAAAAUUUCAUCUCAAGGUAACAUGACUUUAAUAUGAAAAACCAUUAAUUUAUAUUUCUCUGAUGCAGUAACUGUUUAUUUUAAAUCACCAAAUUAAAAAAUAUAAAAUAGAAAUUAAAAUUACUUUCAUAGAUGCAGUAAGCAUAAGACACUAAAGCUUAUUGAGUGUCUCAAAACAUCUCAUCUGAGUAGCCCCAUUUAUUUCAAUGGGAUUACUCAUAUAAGGGUCUGAAAACUCAAACUGCUAUUUUGUGCUUUAGAAACCUUAUAAAUUCUUACCGGGGGCUUAAUUAUCAUAUAGCAAAAUGUUUGGCUCAAAUUUGGCUAUGUAGCCUGCACUGGAUAUGAAAGGGAUAGUUUGUUUUACCCGUCUAUACUUUCCUUGUUUUUGCAAGGGAGAAAGAAAAUUUCAAGUACUUUUCCCAAACAAGGACAUUCAGAAGAUCCUUCGGGACUGCUGUGAUGCCAGGGAGAGGGCAGCGCGCCGGAGAGGCUGCAUUCCUCACAGCAGGGCCAGGAUGGCUGGAUCUGUGGACCUUAUUAUUUGAAGAAAGGAAGUUUUCAGAGUACAACAGCAGGAAGAUGAUUUCUGCAGGGAAUUGGCUGAAGACUGAAGACCAAUGUGGUGAAUUGAUGGCCACAUGGACCUCCUAACUUCUCUCGACAUAGGGCACCAUAGCACUUGCCCACUGCAUCUAAAGAUAUCUGAGAGGUGGAAGAGCAUUUCUUGACUCCUGUGAUAAAAAAUUAAGUUUACUAGGCAAUGAAAGCUAUGACACCUGUGAGGAUGACC